AGUGAACGCUGGCGGUAGGCCUAACACAUGCAAGUCGAACGGCAGCACAGUAAGAGCUUGCUCUUACGGGUGGCGGGUGGCGGACGGGUGAGGAAUACAUCGGAAUCUACUUUUUCGUGGGGGAUAACGUAGGGAAACUUACGCUAAUACCGCAUACGACCUACGGGUGAAAGCAGGGGAUCUUCGGACCUUUCGCGAUUGAAUGAGCCGAUGUCGGAUUAGCUAGUUGGCGGGGUAAAGGCCCACCAAGGCGACGAUCCGUAGCUGGUCUGAGAGGAUGAUCAGCCACACUGGAACUGAGACACGGUCCAGACUCCUACGGGAGGCAGCAGUGGGGAAUAUUGGGCAAUGGGCGCAAGCCUGAUCCAGCCAUACCGCGUGGGUGAAGAAGGCCUUCGGGUUGUAAAGCCCUUUUGUUGGGAAAGAAAAGCAGCAGGUGAAUACCCCGCUGUUCUGACGGUACCCAAAGAAUAAGCACCGGCUAACUUCGUG
rnacentral:rRNA from 1 species